rnacentral:tRNA from 2 species
GCCGCCGUAGCUUACAAAAAGUUUAAUAUUGAAAAUAUUAGGACGGAUCUUUAAAAAUCCCGAGGGCA